GUGCUUGCUCCAGUAGCACCUAUGCAAUAACUGGAACAAUACAGAGAUUAGCAUGGCCCCCGUGCAAGGAUGCCAUGCUAAUUUGUGAAGUGCUCCAUAUUUUU